CCCAGGGUGGUUGCUAUGCUCUCUACGUCAUUGCUGUGUGCUUGUCCAUAAAGCACACCCAGGGUCGUAAAGCAUAGCGCCACCAGCUAACUUCCGAUUGGCUCCUUGUCACAAGGCAGGCAUCUGACUUUCUAGUGACUAACUUCUGAUGGGUUCCUUGUCACGAGACAGGCAUCUGACCUCUAAGUGACCAAGGAAGGUUUAUGGCAAGCACAUGUUUGGCUGUUAUGGCUGCCAAAAGGGAAGCUGGUUCCUUCAAGCCUUCAUCCAGUAGCUGAUGGAAGCAGAAGCAGACACGCACAGCUAAACACCGAGUUGAACUCUGGAAUUCACUUGCAGAGAGGGAGGAGUGAUGAGCAGGUGGAGAAACCCACAGAAACAGAUGACCUGUACAAGGGGGAGAUCAUGGACCCCAGACUCAUAGCUGGGAAACCAGCAUAGGACUGAUCCAGACGCCUUGAACGUUUUCUCUGUGGCUUUGGAGGUUUUCCUGGAACUAGCUCUUGUAGACCAGCUGAUUUCAAACUCAGAGAGAUCCCCCUGCCUCUGCCUCCUGAGUGUUGUGAUUAAAGGUGUGCACCACCACAAUAAAAUUAUGGACCUUUUACUAAAAGUACUUUCUGGAUUCUAGGGUUUGAAAUGGAUUUCUUCCUCAGUAUAAUCACCCCAAAACACAGAUCCUAUCUUAAAACUCCACUGCAAUAGAAUCUGCAGCGAAGCCUUUGGGUCAGUCACUCUGUUGUAUAUUAACCUAACAUAUUUUCAUGUCAUUAGUACAUUGACAUCCGUCCUUCCACUAAGAGACAAGCCUCCUCUGAAGAUGAAUAGCAUUGGCAUCAUAGUAAUAAAUUCCCAUACCUGAUUUAUGUGGUACUGGGGAACAAACCCAGGGAUUCCUGCAUGCAUGUUAGAAAUAGGACUCAUACUUAGCUAUUCAAAACUCCAAUGAAUGAAGUUUAGAGGAAGAUGCAUCCUGCUUAUGUCUGUAAAACAAGAAGCUUGAAAAUUACACAACUCGGAUUGGAAGUGGAUCCUUUACACACAGUUAAGUCUCAAUAUGUCUGUUGUUCUGCCUGACAAAGUCUCUGCAAUAUCACCAAAGACCUGGAGUCACAGCCUGAGCUCUUUCUCAGCAACUGAAAAGGUCCAGAGGCUGCAUAAGGCCGUGGUUUCUGGAGAUCUACAAAGAUGUCACCAAAUAACAAUCUAAACAACAGAGGAGAGGCUACCUUAAUUGCCCUCCCCUGAUAAUGAAAUUGAUGACUAAUUCAUAUGCCAUCCUAUAGCCUUCAUUCAGCAGCUGGUGGAAGUAGAAGCAGACACCCACAACUAAUCACUGAACUGAACUGGAAUCCAGUUGCUGAGAAGGAGGAGUGAUGAGCAAAGGAGUCCAAACCAGGCAGGUGAAACCCACAGAAACAGAUGACCUGAACAAAGGGGAGCUCUUGGUUCCCAGACUGAUAGCUGGGAAACCAGCAUGGUACUGUUACAGAUCCCAUGAAUAUGGUUGUCAGUGAGGAGACCUGGGAAAUCUAUGGGGCCUCUUGUAGCAGAUCAGUACUUAUCUCUAGCAUAGGAAUGGACUUUGGGAGCCCGUUCCACAUAGAGAUACUCCUUGAGCCUAGACUCACUGGGGCAGGGCAGGGCGAGGCAGGCCUUACCCCAAAGGAUAUGAUGGACUCUAAAGAUCCCCUAUCGAAGGCCUCACCCUCCUUGGGGAGCAGAAAGAGUAUGGGGUAGGUAGGGUGUUAGUUGGGGGGGGGGAAACAGAGGAGGAGCAGAGGGAGAGGGAACUGGGAUUGACAUGUAAAACAAUCUUGUUUCCAAUUCAAUUUAAAAAAAAUGGAGAAAAGAAAAAGAUUACCCCCCCCCGCAAAAAAAAAUGAGAAGAAACAGAAAUUCCAGAGUUCUUCAUAACAGGAGUGAACAAAAAGUGUCAUGCCCUCACCUCCAUGCCUUAUCAGUUGCAAUGGCCACUCUAUUUCUCUACACCUUAUUGUUUCUAAUUUAGUUUUUAUAAUAUUUCACUCUUGUUAAGUUUCUUACCCUAUGUGUCUCAACUCUUCUCCCUUCCAGUUUGAUGUGAUAUGCUCCGUGAAGCCACUAAGUGAUACCUUCAUGUGCAUAGUUGCAGGGCCAUCUACUGGAACAAGGACAGUCUUUUAGGGGUUGCUUCCCUGAAUAAAUUGAUUCCCCGUCAGCUGUCAAUUAUGAAUAGUUCUCACCUAAUGGUGGAACUUCAGGAGCCCCUCCCCCAUCCAUGCUUGGAUUUUGGCAGACUUGAUUAUGACUAUACAUGCUGUCACAGGCACUGUGAGUUCACAUGUGUAAUGACGCUCCCAUGCUGCCCCCCCAAAAUCCUGCUUUGUCACAUUUCUACUGUCUCUGCCUCUUACACUCUUUCCUACCCCCUUUCCACAAUGAUCUCUGAGCCUUAUUUGGGGGAGGUAGUAUAACAUAGAUGUCCCAUCCAGAGUUGAUCUCUUCUAAAUCUUUGUUUUCUGUGCAUUCACCGCUUUUGGGUUUCUGCAUCACUCAUCAUCUACUUAAAAAGAAGCUUAACUAAUGGGUGUUGAGAGAUGUGCUAAUUACUAAUUUAGCAGAAUAACAGUAUUAAAUUCUCAAACCCUGACAUGGAUUUUGAGAAAGGGAAAUACUAAAUUACAGUGUCUAGGAGUGUAAAUUGUUAAAGCCACUAUGAAAACCAAUGUGAGGUUUCCUCAAAAAUCUAAAAAUAGAUCUAUUGUAUGAUCCAGCUAGACCAAUCAUGACCAUAUUGCCAUGGGUCUUGACAGUGUCCUGCAGAGAUACUUGCUCACCCAUGUUUAUUGCUACUCUAUUCACAAUUAGGCAGAGGAGUGGAAACAGCCUACAUAUAUGUAAACUUUUGAAUGGAUAAUGAAUAUUUGGUACAUUUACACAAUGGAAUACUAUUCAGCUGUUAAGAAAAAGGAAAUUAUAAAAUCUGCAAGUAAAUGGAUGGAGCUAGAACUAAAAUUGUUAGUGGGUUACCCAGACCCUAAAAGACAAACACCAUAUACUGUAUUUCAUGAGUGUGUGUUAGCUUUGCAUUUUAGACGUAUGUAUGUUUAUAUUGGAAAACAUAUUGGAGGAAGGAAAUUAGUAAGAGGACAGAAGGAAGGAAUUUCAAGUGAAGGAGACAGAAUGCAGUGGUCCAAAGGAGUAAAAGAAAAUAAUAGAUAAGGAAUGGUUAAAUAGAGUCAGGAAUGAGAAGGCAGGGUAAUGAAUGGCAUAUGGGGAGGGAUAACUAACUAUAAUACCAUUGAAAAACCCAUACAGAAGACUACUACUAUUGAAGUUUCCUAAAUUAUAUUCAUAUAACUUCACACAAAAUAUUUUCUGUGUAGUUACUCUCUAAUGGGGAUAUAAUGCCUCUUCUAGACACCAGCAAGCAAAUAAAAAGCUCAGGUUAAGGUAUAGAUUAUUGCUUACCUCUAAAAUUCUUAAAUCUCUACUUUCACUCUUGGGAGUUAGCAUUACAUUGCCAUGAAGGAAGAGAGCAACGAAUGGUCAAAGACUCUGACAUACAGGGUUCAAUAUACCAUAAUCCCAUCAUUGAGUACAUGGGUCCAGAAUGAGAUCCAGCCACAAAUAUACUUUUAUAAUUCUUAAAUAAAAGAAUAUUCUUUCUAAUAUAUCAAGAUUGAAAUGUUUAGGAAAAGAACAGAGAAGAAAUAACUAACAAAUGAAUUCCAGCAAACAUUGUGUAUCACCACUUCCCAUAGGAAAAACAGGCAGACAUGUUUAUAAAAUCUAUAAUGAUGUCCAGAGUAUCUAAGAAUUUUAUCCACCUUUUUUUCACAUGAAAAAUGAGUUCCUUGGUCACAGUGGAAUAUUGGAAGUGUGUAACAGUAAGCAAGCCUGUCAUCAAGUUCCUGUCUUAAGGUCCUGCCUUGACUCCCAAUAAUAGUGGGAUGUGAUUUGGAAUUGCAGGCCAAAUAAACUACUUCUUACCCUGAGUUGUUUUGAUCAGUAUGUUUUAUUACUGUAACAGGUAUUAAACUAGGACAUCUUAGGGUACCAGUCAGCCAUCUGCAAAUCAGAGAGAACUUCAACAUGGACCAUCAACCUUCAGAACUGUGAAGAAAUAGUUGUAUGUUGCCUUAGCUUUCCUGACAGUGUUAGUUAUAACAACAUAAUCCCUUAGCAUUUCUAAGUACUUUAGACUGUUCAUAGACUGUGCAUUGUUCUGUUGGUAACAAUGAUGGGCUGAACUUCUAAAUGCUCACCCUAUAUUCGUUAGCUCAUUCAUAAUUAAGUUACAAAAGUUCUCUUAGUUUGUCUUCUCCAGUUAGAAUAACUGAAAAAAAGCUCAAAAUGACAAAAUAGAAGUCUGUUUAGGAGCUGGGCAUUGGUGGUGCACGCAUUUAAUCCCAGCACUCAGGAGGCAGAGUCAGGCAGAUCUCUGUGACUUUGAGGCCAACCUGGUCUCCAGAGCAAGUGCCAGGAUAGGCUCCAAAGCUACACAGAGAAACCCUGUCUUGGAAAAAAAAUAAAAAAGUCUGUUUAGGAAUUUUACUUACAUUUCCCAGGUUAGUUUUGCCAUCUGAUGUUGUCACAUUGGUGGUGGCUUUAUGUUUCUUUUAUAAAUAUCACAUAGAAAAAAAAAAAAAAAAAAAAAGCCUGAUGUUCAAUUCUGGAUUCAGGAAAAAGUAGAGCAUUAGCUAAUCAUUUAUAGGAGUUAUUCAGAGACCAAGUGGAAGAAAGAGAGGUAGCCUAAAGGUGUGAAAAUUAUUGCUAUGCAAGUUUAAACAGUUUUAUUAGUUUCUUUAAAAAUAUUCAGAAUUCUGGCACUGCUCUUUAUUGCAUUACCCAACCUAUUUAGGGAGGUUAACAGCCACCCACAUUAACACGCUCCAUAUAAUAUUUACUGCAAUAUGUGUCGGUUUCAAUCAGUUUCACCACUGUGACUGACUUGAAUGAUGUUAAAUGUCUCUUGUGGCCCUUUCUUCCAGAAUGUAAUAAGAGGAACUUCUUGCUAUAAAAGUAUGUGGAUUAAAGAAAGUGUUCAAACUUUGAACUCCUAAUUUUGAGGCCACUUUAAGGGUAUGAUGAAUUAUUAUGCAUCAACAUGUGCUCACACACCUGCCAGAUUCCACCUUGAGCCUGGGAUUUUUCUCAAGAGGCAUCAAACAUCAUUUCAGCUGUCAUCGUGUUUUUUCCCAAUGCAAGAGUCUAAUUUUGUCAGUCAUCUAUUAAUAGGGGUCUAAAUUAACUUUGGGUGACUGCAUCCUGUCACUGAUUCCUCAGUGUUCAGUGGAUUUGAAGCUGUCCUCAAAAG
rnacentral:lncRNA from 1 species